AUGAUGUGGGCGCUUUCGGAACACUUCCCCCGCGCAGUUCAACCGCCAUGGCAGUGGCCACACCGAAGAGCUUGGAUUCCUGUCCAAUUCAUCGCCUUCUUCCUUAAAUUCGUUCUCAAUCCUCGGCCAACCAACGAGAGAAUGCGAGGCAGGAUGAGUUUUCUCCACCAAUUUCAAGAAGGUCUGCAAUUUUGACCUCUUCGCUACCUUUCAUUCUCGUUUCUGUAUAUCCGUCCAAGGCAAUAGAGAUAAGGAACAAGAGGACCAUUCCUCUCGAGGACUGUAUCACCAGCGUUAACGUGGGACUAUUCCUUUCAAUAAUCCAAACGUGGGAGAUCUAUGAUGUUUGUUGAUAAAAGAAAAAAUAUAUCCAUCGAAAUUUCACAUGUAAUGGUUGGAAGUUCUGGAUUAUGAGGAGCAUUUCUAUGUAGCUUUCUUUGAUUCACAUUGGCAAUGACAUUUUGAUUGCCGCAAAUGUACUGAAGUACUAUGAUGUCGAGGAGGGAAAGGGUCCUGUGGCAGAGAAGGGUUCCGCAGUUCAGGCAGCCUGGCGCUACUUUUGAAUUGAACAUCGAGCUUUUGGAAGUGGUGCGGCCGGAAAAAGGAGGGGCCUGACAUGAUUCGGGAGCCAGGUUUUUGAUCCCCACUGAACUAGAAGUUAAGCAUUAGCGGACUGAUUGAUUCUUUUGUUAGGACGAGGAGAAGCACAAGCAGGUAUUGGGUAAGGGGGAGUUUGUUUUUUUUUUUUUUCAAUGGAACCUUCAGUUCCAGGUAUUGGGUAAGGGGGAGUUUUUUCUUCAAUGGAACCUUCAGUUCUUUACUUGCUGUUGUUCUAAACAUGUUAAGACCCGUGGUUUGGUAUGGACUCAUUGCGCCCCUCUAAAAUGUAACAAAAGCUCCACUCUUGUUAGUGCCAAACGCACCAAAUUUCUACUUCGGUCUUUGGCCAUGCCACCUUUCCUCUGCCCCCACCCCCUUCUUUCUCGCUUUAGCUUUAACUUUAGCUUUUGGGUCUGGUUGGAUAUUAAUUUUUAGGAGUUAGAGGACGGCUCUGAUAGGGAAAACGUGACAGCCUUAUUUGUAUAUUGCCUAUUGUUUCAUUAGCAAAAGGAAAAGCAGAAGUUUGAAGUGUGUGGAUAUCGUUUUCAUAGAGAGACGCAAUAAAUUGGUGUUGUUGGAAAGGGGGAUUGGAUUGGAUGGUUGUCCCAAGUGUCAUAUUGUGGAGCAGAAUCAAAGAUUUCCCUUUCUUGAUGCGUCGAAAGUGCCUUGUCAUUGCUAGGAUGCCUCUGGGCUUCCACCCCACCUUCCUGUGAAACCUCCUCCUCCUCCUCCUCCUCCUCCACCACCGACUCAAAUCAGCAGACAGUUUGUCUGCGCAACACGUUGUUGGUUUCCCCCAACCUCGGAUUCAAGUCCACGUCACCCCAUUCUACAGCAAAAAUGAUGUCGUUUUUGAGCGAAAUAGUGUGUUGUGUUCUACUCUGAGUGUGAACCAACAGGAGUGAUCCACGAAAGAGAAAGGACUUGCACCGUGUUUCAGAGUAUCAAACCACUAAAUUACUGCUUGUUUGAUUGAUGGUUUUGUGAUUUCUUAGAUGACUAAUAAAUAAUACUGGUUUUGGAUUGAACCCAAAUGCCAUAGGGGAAAGGCUUUAGUUUUUGUUCACUCUUUUGAUACGAAACCGAAUUCGUGGUUUUCAAUUAUAUCAGUCAUCAUGUUAAUUAAAUGAGUAUUAAUUGAUGUAUGGCGUUGGUUGUUUCACGAUUCCAGCAAAGUUCCAUUUUUUUAAUUGUCUUCUAAUCUUGUUUCAUUUAUGUACUUUAUUUCUUUCCCCUUCUGAACCCAACUAA